rnacentral:lncRNA from 1 species
UGAUAGAGUUUGAUCGUCAGUCCUUCCUCAAACUCGAUCACGAACACAACGAAAGAUGAUUUUAUUGAUAUGAUGAAAAGAUGUUUACACUUUGUAUUGAGAAUCAACCGAGACUCGCUGGCUUAACCCAGACGAGAUCUCCUCAAGACUAUCGUCUCUAAUCCAAAAUACAAAGCUGCCCACAAAUGAGCUCGCAGGCUCUUAUUUAAAACUACUCAACGAACUUAACGGCAAACCUUCUCUGUCUAUCCGAGUCUUCCAAUCCUUUCCCGUCUCAAGACCCUCUAGACGCCUCAGAGUCUCCCUUCGUAUUCAAUUCUCCUUCCUUUUCCCGCGUCCCUCUCUCUCCUCCUCUGUUCUUCCUCUGUCUCACGUAACGAUAAUGAAGCUUAUCAAUACCCCCCUUUUCGAAACCGAGCUUGUCCUCAAGCUUAAACUCAGGAUACUGGGCACGAAACUCUCUGUAUAACACCCAAGAGUUCUCCGAAGUAGGAAGGGAGCGCCACUGAACCAGCAACUCUAAACUUCCUUUAUCAUUGUAACGAGUAUCCAAGAUAGCCUCCGGCACAACGAUAACAUCAUCAAGACCCGCAGGUGAAACUGGUAACGGAAGCACCUGAUGAUCAGCUCCCAGAACUGCUUUCAGCUGAGACACGUGAAAGACUGGGUGAAUUUUCGUCUCCGGAGGUAAGGCCAAACGAUAAGCCGCUUUUCCGAUCCGCUCACGCACUUCGUACGGCCCAAAGUACUUAGCUGAAAGCUUCUGACAUACUCGUCGAGCUACGGAUUGUUGCCUGUAUGGUCGCAGUUUCAGAUAGACCAUAUCUCCUACUGAAAACACCACAUCUCUUCUGUGUUUGUCAGCGUUGUUCUUCAUCAGUUGUUGCGCAUGAACCAAAUGGGCUUUGAUACUGACCAACAUUGCAUCACGCUCAACUAACAUGUUCUCCAAAUUCGCAUUUGUAGUCGAUCCUGACUCAUACUGCAACAAGGCUGGAGGUUCACGUCCAUAGACAACUCGAAAAGGACUAGUUUUCAAGGAUGUAUGGUAUGACGUGUUGUACCACAGUUCAGCCCAAGAAAGAAACUUGAACCAAGUACGUGGGUGUGAUGAAGCAAAACACCGAAGAUAAGUUUCCAUACAACGGUUGAGAACCUCAGUCUGACCGUCCGUCUGAGGGUGGAAAGCCGUGCUGAACUUCAACGACGUCUCAGACAAACGGAACAGCUCCUUCCAAAAUGAGCUCAAGAAAAUCUUGUCACGGUCAGAUACAAUAGACCGAGGAAACCCGUGCAGACGCACCACCUCUCCAAUAAAUUUCUUUGCCACAUCAAUCGCCUGAAAGGGGUGUUUGAGACCAAUGAAAUGCGAGUAUUUACUCAGUCGGUCAACCACCACAAAGAUGACGUUAUACCCAAAAGAAGUUGGUAAACCCUCCACAAAAUCCAUUGACAAAUCCUCCCAGACAGCCACCGGAAUAGGAAGCGGUUGAAGUAAGCCUGCUGGGUUCAGCGUUGAAUACUUAUGUGUUUGACAAAUGUGACAACCAGCAACAUACUUCUGAACUGUCUUUAGUAAACCCGUCCAAUGGAACCAGCGUUGUAUCCUCUUAACAGUCUUGAGAACACCAGAAUGGCCCCCUUGUAACCCAUCAUGACACUCCUUCAAAAUAGUAGUAACAUGUGGAGAGUCAUGUGGAAUCACUAAACGAUUCUUGUAUAGCAAUUUCCCUCCCUUUUCCGAAUAAUGUUUCAAGCUUGGAUCACCCUCUUGAACUCUCUGUAAUAGCAGCUGAAUCUCAGGCGAUGCUGCAAUUUCGGCAAGCAGAUCUUGAAACUGAAGAGAAGCAGGUACCGUGACUGCUAGCAACGUUGAGGAGCAUAGCUGAAGUGAAGAAUGCUCAAUCCUUGAAAGACCAUCUGCUGCUUUGUUCUGAAUCCCCGGUUUGUAGAUAAUAUCAAACUCAUACCCCAAUAGUUUGAUCAACCAUUUCUGAUACUCCAUGUUGACUUCACGUUGCUCUAAUAGAAACUUAAGAGACUUCUGAUCUGUGUGAACCACAAAGCGACGUCCUAGUAGAUAAUGCUUCCAUUUGCGAAUAGCCAAGACCACAGCCAUAAGUUCUCUUUCAUAAAUCGGUUUCAGCUGUUCACGAGGUGUCAAGCCGUGGCUAAAAUAAGCAAUCGGACGACCCUGCUGCAUCAAUACUGCACCAAUCCCAAACCCGGAAGCAUCACACUCAACCACAAACGUUUGUGUAAAAUCCGGCAAGGCCAAAACCGGUGUCGUAAGCAUCGCUGUUUUCAAGUUAUCAAAUGCUGUUUGAGCGAACGGAGACCACUCGAACUUGUCAAUCUUCAGCAAUUCAGUAAGAGCACGGGCCAAAGAACCAUACCCCAGUACAAACCGUCUGUAAUACCCAGUUAGCCCCAAAAAACCACGAAGCUGUUUGAUAUUCUUAGGAGUAGGCCAAGUUCUCAUAGCUUCUGUCUUUUUAGGAUCAGUAGCCACUCCUUCAGCUGAAAUGACAUGUCCUAAGUAUUCGACUUUCUCCUGAGCAAACAAGCACUUCUUCUUAUUUGCGAAGAGCUGAUGUUUCUCGAACACUUUGAGAACUGCCUCCAAGUGAUGAACAUGUUCCUCUUCGUUCUUGCUGUAGAUCAACACAUCAUCAAAGAAUACCAGCACGAACUUAUUAAGGAAAGGACGGAACAGAUCAUUCAUCAGUGACUGGAAGGUAGAUGGAGCAUUAGUUAAGCCGAAUGGCAUUACUAAAAACUCAUAAUGACCAUCAUGGGUUCGAAAAGCAGUCUUAGGAAUGUCCUUCUCUUCCAUUCUGAUCUGAUGAAACCCAGCAGUGAGAUCCAUCUUAGAGAACACUCGAGCUCCAUGAAGUUGAUCGAGUAGUUGGUCUAUCAUAGGGAUAGGAUACUUGUCUGCUAUGGUUGCCUGGUUGAGCGCACGAUAGUCCACACAAAAGCGCCAAGAUUUGUCUUGUUUCUUCACCAACAAGACAGGGCUUGAAAAAGGACUCCGACUUAACCUGAUCAGACCUUUGUCCAACAUCUCAUUCACCAUCUCAGUCAUUGCUUCCUUAUGUGCUUGAGGAUAACGGUAAGGUCGAACAUUUAUGGCGGUAGUUCCUUCCUUAAGCGUUAUUGCAUGCUCUCGUCCUCUGAAUGGAGGAAGAGACUGUGGUUUAGCGAAAAUGUGCUCGUAAUCCUGCAACACCUUUGACACUGCCGGAGACUGAUCUUGUUUUGUCUGAUCGGUAGUAGUCAUUUCACAGAGCCAAGCUUCAUUAGGUACCACCCACUGACUGUCUUCUUGAGCAAUACUUUGUAAUGAUGUUGUCAUCUGAUGGAGAUCUUGUUCACCAGUUAAACUCACUUUCUUGCCUUCAUACCAGAAGCUCCACUCCUGAGAAAGCCAAUCGACCUCACAUGUACCAAGAGUUCUUAGCCACUGAACUCCUAGCACUACAUCCACUUUGCCAAGAUCCAGAGUGAUACAAUCAAUUGUAAAAUUAAGUCCCUGCAACUCCAACUUAACAUUGUUGCAGACUCCUCCCGCAUGAAUAGAAACGCCAUUUCCCAAGAUCACUUGCAUUUUUGCGUUUGCUUGGAAUAGAAGUUCUGCCUUCGCUGCUAUCUGAGGUGUGACAAAAUUGUGUGUGGCACCACUGUCUAUUAGCACUACCACUUUAGUACCAGCUAACAACCCCCUCAGCUUCGUUGUUGCCGGAGAGUCAAUCCCCAGAAAAGCGUUGAGGGAAAUCUCCAUCAUUUGCGGUGACUGCAACUCCUCCAUGUUUUUAUCUUCCUCUUCCUUCUCUUCGUUAUAAGUAUCUUGUAACACUUCUACUUCUAUAUCCUCAGUCAGCAUCAAGAUUUGUAACUCUGCAUUCGCACACACAUGACCUCGGAACCAGCUCGUCUUACAUUUAAAACACAGCUUUAGCCUCUUCAACUCAGCUAAUUCAGCUGGAGUUAAGUGUAAUCGUGGUCUCGGAGGCAAGUUCUUUUGCGGUUCCAGUUGCUUACUUUUGUCGUCAGCAAGUGGCUGCAGGUUACGAUGGUUAUAGUUGUUAGGUCGAUGCUGUUUGUGUUGUGGAGCAUAGUGAUCCGUCUGUCUUGGUUUCACACGUUCACCCAUAACUUGACAGAAGGUACUACUCUCCAUUUUGACUACUGCUGCGAUAUGAUUACGCAGACCUUUUGGCUCCUUAAGCUUGAUAACUUCCUUCAUCUCCUGUUUCAAGCCUGUGUAGAACUUGCUUAUCAGAUUUGGUUCAUCAAUGCCCUUCACCUGAGUAAUCAGCUCUUCAAACUCACGGACAUAUUGACGUACAGAACCAGUCUGACGCAGAGCACAUAGUUUGUUGCGAGGCUCAUCAUCAAUGGACUCUGCAAAGCGUUCUAGCAUACGUUGCUUAAACUGAGUCCAGCUCUCGAACUUCUCCUCUUCAGCCUCCCACAGAUACCAAUUCAAUACCUCUCCAGUCAAGCUCAAAGCCACCAAUUCAAGCUUCUCUUGUGAACUAUACUUUGCCGCGCGGAAAUAACGUUCAACAUUACGAAUCCAACAAUAUGGCAUCAAUCCAUCAAAGGUUGGUAACUCAAUCUUCUUCAAUAAGCUCUCCCUACUCGCAAACAUAUCAGUACCUCUCCGAUAACCUGACGGAAAAUUCUCCGUUUCAGUUAUAGGUUCUUGUACCUGAUGAUCGGAUGAUUCCGCUACGUCUUUGCCAUGUGGCUUUGAUGGUGCUGUAUUCGACUCGAUACGAUCGAUUGCGGCGGCGAUCUUCUGUAACUGAAACUCAACGGAGCUCAAUCGCGACUCCACUUCACCAAAACGGACAUCGGAUUGUGUAUUAGCCUCCGUAAGCUUCCUCCACCCUUCGUAGAUCACCUUCACCGUCUUCUCCGUCUCUCGUCCCGCCUGCUCCAGAUUCUCGAUUCUUCCCUCGGAUUCCUCCAUCGAAACGAUCGCGAGCUGCUCACCGCACCAAUUGAUAGAGUUUGAUCGUCAGUCCUUCCUCAAACUCGAUCACGAACACAACGAAAGAUGAUUUUAUUGAUAUGAUGAAAAGAUGUUUACACUUUGUAUUGAGAAUCAACCGAGACUCGCUGGCUUAACCCAGACGAGAUCUCCUCAAGACUAUCGUCUCUAAUCCAAAAUACAAAGCUGCCCACAAAUGAGCUCGCAGGCUCUUAUUUAAAACUACUCAACGAACUUAACGGCAAACCUUCUCUGUCUAUCCGAGUCUUCCAAUCCUUUCCCGUCUCAAGACCCUCUAGACGCCUCAGAGUCUCCCUUCGUAUUCAAUUCUCCUUCCUUUUCCCGCGUCCCUCUCUCUCCUCCUCUGUUCUUCCUCUGUCUCACGUAACGAUAAUGAAGCUUAUCAC